AACCAAAUGAAGCAAUUGCAUGCAACUGUUUUGUUCUACGGCUAAUCACAUAAGCAACCAACAGAUGUGAUAGCCGGCGCAACAGUUGGUUAUUUCAUCAGAGUCUGGAACGUUCUGCAGGGGAUUUGAUAAUAAGAUCCAGAUUUUAUUAAAAACCAAGUAUCAUCAUGGAAGCCUACAUUUGAAUGCCGCUCUUAAGUCAAAUACGUACAUGAUUG